UGGGUCAAAAUUUGCAUCUGGGUUGGAAGGAAAGGUCGGUUGCCAUGUGCAAGGCAGACACGUGAGGACAUCUACGCUUAUCACAAUGUAAAGGAGACUGGGCUAUGGGGAGGCUCAGAGCAGCUAUUCAACCUGCCUUCCAAGCAAGGGAGGCAGACUCCAAAUUUCAAAGGAAGGACUAGAGAACUUGAGCCGUGGAGGAAGCCAGAUGGACCACAGGACAAGUCAGCCACAGUCAGCCCCCAAAUCUAACUGCACUCAGAACCACACAGACAGCACCUCUCACGGUGCUUGGACAUCUGCGGGGUGUGUUCUAAAGGUCAACGGGCAAUUCACCCAUCUAACCAGGCCCAGCCUCGCUUAGCUUCGGAGAUCACCUGGGAUCGGCACAUUCUAGGGGGUGACUGGAGACUCAUCUGGCCAUUCUGGGAGGCAGCAGGGACGGAAGGUGUGUUUGGUACUGUUGCCAGUGCCAACGGUCAUUCCUUCAUACUCUGGAGAUGGGCAACACGGAAGAUCGUCUGAGUUGAGACCUCAGGACCCAAGAGCUCCAUGUGACAAAACCCUGGGCUGACAGGACAGCUCAACUCUGCUGCUUCAGUAGGCUGCCGGACCAUUGUGAAGCCAGGCAGAGCAGAGCUGGCCCGAGACCCACAGCUUCACAAGUCAACAGAACAAGGACUGGAGGCAGAGCAAGGAGAUAAAGGGAAGAGACAGGAGACACAAAACAAACAAACAAACAAAACAAACUCUGUAUGGAGUUUGUAUAUCAUAAGGAAACAGGUAACUUCAUAAUACUAUUUUAAAUAUGCAUGAAUGGAUUGUGGUGGUUUGAAUAAAAAUGGCCCCCAG